GAUGAACGCUGGCGGCGUGCCUAAUACAUGCAAGUCGAGCGAACAGACGAGGAGCUUGCUCCUCUGACGUUAGCGGCGGACGGGUGAGUAACACGUGGAUAACCUACCUAUAAGACUGGGAUAACUUCGGGAAACCGGAGCUAAUACCGGAUAAUAUAUUGAACCGCAUGGUUCAAUAGUGAAAGACGGUUUUGCUGUCACUUAUAGAUGGAUCCGCGCCGCAUUAGCUAGUUGGUAAGGUAACGGCUUACCAAGGCAACGAUGCGUAGCCGACCUGAGAGGGUGAUCGGCCACACUGGAACUGAGACACGGUCCAGACUCCUACGGGAGGCAGCAGUGGGGAAUCUUCCGCAAUGGGCGAAAGCUUGACGGAGCAACGCCGCGUGAGUGAUGAAGGUCUUCGGAUCGUAAAACUCUGUUAUUAGGGAAGAACAAAUGUGUAAGUAACUAUGCACGUCUUGACGGUACCUAAUCAGAAAGCCACGGCUAACUACGUG
rnacentral:rRNA from 1 species